CCAGAGAACUUAGCAGAGAUGCUUUGGUGCCUUCGGGAACUCUGAGACAGGUGCUGCAUGGCUGUCGUCAGCUCGUGUUGUGAAAUGUUGGGUUAAGUCCCGCAACGAGCGCAACCCUUAUCCUUUGUUGCCAGCGGCUCGGCCGGGAACUCAAAGGAGACUGCCGGUGAUAAACCGGAGGAAGUGGGGAUGACGUCAAGUCAUCAUGGCCCUUACGGCCAGGGCUACACACGUGCUACAAUGGCGCAUACAAAGAGAAGCGACCUCGCGAGAGCAAGCGGACCUCAUAAAGUGCGUCGUAGUCCGGAUUGGAGUCUGCAACUCGACUCCAUGAAGUCGGAAUCGCUAGUAAUCGUAGAUCAGAAUGCUACGGUGAAUACGUUCCCGGGCCUUGUACACACCGCCCGUCACACCAUGGGAGUGGGUUGCAAAAGAAGUAGGUAGCUUAACCUUCGGGAGGGCGCUUACCACUUUGUGAUUCAUGACUGGGGUGAAGUCGUAACAAGGUAAGCGUAGCGAG
rnacentral:rRNA from 1 species